rnacentral:miRNA from 1 species
GGUCGUGGGCUUGUGUCGCUUG